AGCGAACGCUGGCGGCAGGCCUAACACAUGCAAGUCGAACGGACCCUUCGGGGUUAGUGGCGGACGGGUGAGUAACACGUGGGAACGUGCCUUUAGGUUCGGAAUAGCUCCUGGAAACGGGUGGUAAUGCCGAAUGUGCCCUUCGGGGGAAAGAUUUAUCGCCUUUAGAGCGGCCCGCGUCUGAUUAGCUAGUUGGUGAGGUAACGGCCCACCAAGGCGACGAUCAGUAGCUGGUCUGAGAGGAUGACCAGCCACACUGGGACUGAGACACGGCCCAGACUCCUACGGGAGGCAGCAGUGGGGAAUCUUGCGCAAUGGGCGAAAGCCUGACGCAGCCAUGCCGCGUGAAUGAUGAAGGUCUUAGGAUUGUAAAAUUCUUUCACCGGGGACGAUAAUGACGGUACCCGGAGAAGAAGCCCCGGCUAACUUCGUG
rnacentral:rRNA from 1 species